GUGUGUGUGUAGAUAUAAAAAUCUAGAGAGAGAGAAAGAUGAAAGUACGUUUCGAAGUUACGAACGGUGACGUUUUGUGUUCUUGUUGUUUUUCCAAUUGAUUGUUUUAUACUACUGUAUUCUAAAAAGUUUCCCCCUCCUCUUCACACAAAUAUCGACUGGAGUUAAGAGCAAAUUUAGUGAAGGUUCGUGACAGACACCAGGAUGACACCAUCGUUGAAGUUAUCCAUCCCUGCUGUAAUUGAUCAUUCAGAAUCUGAAUCCGGUCCUGUUAAAUUAACUUGGAUACCUAUUCCAAUAUCGGCCAGGCCGUAUUGGGGUAUCGAUAUCCAAAUAUCGAUCCAUCCUACUCUGGCGUAUGUAACAUAAAUAAAUAGCGGAACCAUGAAAGGUGGGCGCGUGUGAGAGAGUGGUCAGAUCAUCCUGUAGGUGUCGAAGUGACAGCCAGAACUCGAGCGUGUCUCUGGAGGGGUGCCACGCACAGAGGCUUCGCUUGACCAGUAAGUAUCACUUUUGACUUGAGAAGAUUCUGUUUUUAUUGUUUUGCAAGUGCAAUUCAAAAUCUCUUGAAAGAAUAGAGCUCUACUGGACGGUCGUUGCAAAUGAGGUUGUGGUGAUGCUAAUAAUGACGGGCUCUGAUUUAAAAAAAAAACAAAAAACAAACAACAUAAAAAUGAUGAUUUGCAGAAUUUGACCAUCUAGCCAGAUUAGACAUAUUGUACAUUGGGUCCUUCCUCCAGUACAGUAUAAGAUCCAUACAUAAAAUGACAUGUUAUUUAUUGGAUUGAGUUUUCUGCAUUUCUUUAUAUUCAUGAAGAGAAUUUUGACGUUUAAAUGUGCACAGCUUUAACUACACUUUUGUAUCAAGUAGUUAAUUCCAGUGAAAAUGUUUGAAUCUAUAAACUUGACUAAACAAACAAACAAACAAAAAAGCUUUGCUCCACCCUGAACAUGCACUGAAUGUGAUUGAGCGGGAAAUCCAUCCAUCAAUGUGCGUCCUGCUGCUUUCUCUGUGUUGUUUUUCUUUGAAAGAUCACCCCGUGAAAUAAUGGAUCUAAUGGAGUCGGAGGACAUGGGCGGCGGCUGUGAAGAGAAGAACUGUGGCCCAGCGUCAGCCUUUCUGGAGGACUGUUCCAGCCAAGAUUGCGAUUGGGAUCAACCUCUGUUUGGAUUCACUGAGCUGGUGGGCGUGACGAUCAUCUACAUUCCCCUACUGCUGUUUGGUCUCCUCGGAAAUGUCCUCACAAUUUUAGUGGUUUGGCUACGUCCGCACAUGAGGAGUUCUUCCUACUUGUACCUGAGCAGCAUGGCUGUGAGUGAUCUGAUGAUACUCCUGCUCCUACCUCUGGAUCUCUACAAGCUAUGGAAGCCCAGACCGUGGCCCUUCGGAGACCUGGCCUGUAAGAUGACCAUGUUCCUGUCCGAGUGUUGCACCUUCUGCACCAUCCUGCACAUUACCUUCCUCUCCCUGGAGAGAUAUGUGGCAGUCUGCUGGCCAAUGACAGCAAAGACAUUGGUAACGCGCCGCAGGACCAGGGCUCUCAUCGGCUGCCUGUGGCUGGGCGCCGCGGUCAGCGCGGCGCCGGUCUUGGUGAUGGUUGGGGUCGAGGAGGUCGGACAAGAAGAUCUCAGGCUCGGCGGUUGGAGGGAGAACGCGAGGUGGAUGGGCGAGGACGGAGAACCGCCGGGCUUCGCACCGGCUGCGGAUGAGGGAGGACGUCCGUCGUCUUCGUUUGAGGGAGAACGAGAGGAACGAAAAUGGGGAGAGCGAGAGAGGCGGCGUGAAAGGGUCAGAGAGUUGAAAUUGUUCGAUGAGGAAGAAGAAGGAAUGGAAGCAGUCGGUGAGCCGAACAAAAAACACGCAGGUGAAAUCAGAAAUGAAACGCAAGAGGACGCCACGGGAGGCCAGCAAAACAAAAUGAAAGAAGACGAAGGAGGAGGAUGGGAAGCGAGUGUCGCCGGACACGCCGCCGACAGAAGAGAGUGCCGCUGCACGCAAUACGCCAUUUCCUCUGGCCUCCUGUCCGCCAUGAUGAUUGUGUCCAACCUGUACUUCCUGGUCCCGGUCUGCGUCCUCGCACUGGUCUACGGUAUGAUCGGAAGGACACUUUGGCUGCGCCCUCAGAGCAGCCGCAGAGACCAAAGUCAUCGGCACGCCGUCAAAAUGCUCGGAGUGAUCGUGAUGGCAUUUGUCCUCUGCUGGCUGCCCUUCCACAUUGGUCGGACGAUAUUCGUUUUCUCCCUGGGCACCGGUGCCGACCAACAGAAUCUCGACACUGAUGAAUCCAUCGACAACGUCGGCGCCGUUACGGAAGGUGCUCGAGCAGACUCGCGCGUCAAUUCGAAACCGCCUUAUUCUUACGAACCACCCACCAGAAGUCAACAACUGCACCCACGCGGACUUCCAAAAGAUUCAGCUCGCCCCCAACCGUCACCGCUUACAGAUAAGACGAGGCGAUAUAACAGCAGCACCGCGAACUCCAAACUAUAUCACGCGACCCGGGCGCAAACGGCUCAGGGCUCACACGAGAGCGCACGUCUGAGUUCCCGUCACUCGGGGCAGAGCGCCACCCUCGACGCGGCCUCAACAAGCGACGAGACGCGUCAACGCAGCUGCGUAUUUCAACCUGGGCUCCUCCGUGCUCUACUACCUGAGUGCUGCUGUCAAUCCCUUGCUGUACAACGUCAUGUCAGCCAGAUACCGACACGCCGUCCGCGGUCUCCUGCGUAGGAGCGCACGCUCGCAAAGACGGGACCAACGUUUGCGGACGCUUGACACCCAGCGCGCCACUUUGAACAUGAGGGCCGAAUGUGCCGCGCGCCCUCGCCGAACACAUUUGACACACGGCACACGAUUUUGCGCUUAUUGUAUUGCAUGCUGGACACACCGCUGAAUGCCUUUAUUGGAUUCUCCCCCGCCACCAUAACGGCGUUGUUCCCGCGUUGUCGGCUUCGCGAUGGUUUUCCUGAAGUUUGGAAAAAACGGAGCGGCCUCGGGCGAAAGGACAAUUGAUUGGAUUGGAUUUGUGAGCCGGGCUCUUCCUGACAUUGGCUGUUGAUGUCUUGUUCCAGAGCAACAACAUUCAUCGAUAAAAUUGAGAGUGACUUCUCAGAUGAGUGGGGAAAUCAUUCACCUUUAUAGUUUGCUGUCACAUGACAUCAUAUCGCACACCAAGAUCAUUGCAGGACACAAAAGCCGUCGGGUACUGCGUCUGACUUUUUUUUUUUUUUUUCUUCAGUGGCCAUACGAUUGCAAAUGUUGCUG